UACGUAGGGUGCAAGCGUUAAUCGGAAUUACUGGGCGUAAAGCGUGCGCAGGCGGUUAUGUAAGACAGAUGUGAAAUGCCCGGGCUUAACCUGGGAACUGCAUUUGUGACUGCAUGGCUAGAGUGUGUCAGAGGGGGGUAGAAUUCCACGUGUAGCAGUGAAAUGCGUAGAUAUGUGGAGGAAUACCGAUGGCGAAGGCAGCUGGCUAAACUAUAACUGACGCUGAUGCACGAAAGCGUGGGGAGCAAACAGG
rnacentral:rRNA from 1 species